GUUUCACAGAACCAACAGACAGUAUUAGUACAGCAUUUCAGAAUGUAGACAGGAAAUUCGAUAUUAGACAUAUUUCAUUGAAUUACCAGAGCUAUGCAUUAUUAAAAAUACUAUACAUGUGUAUAAUAAAAGAAAAAUAAAUGUUACAGUGCGUACCUAAAUAAUAAUAUACAUAACUAAGUAAAUGACAAAAAUAGUCAAACAAUAUUAAUCCUGCUACAUAUACUUGUUACUCUUACUCCUUGCAUUUUCACGCAAUUGUCUGUAGUUAUAUACUUACAUUUAACAAAUAGCCUUGUUACAUACUUUCAAAUUUAAGAAUCUGAGGUUGAUUGCUCUUACUGAUAUGAAAUUAUUACGUUUUUAUUUGGGAUUUCGUAGGCUGGAGACAGGUUAAGGUCUGUUAAAGGGUUAAACACCAGUUGUUGUUUUUUUAUUAAUGAGCUAUAUUGUCUACAUUUAUUGAUAUAUCAGGCAGGAGUGCCCCAGAUAGAAUAUAGUAUUUCAGAAAAAGGGAAUAUACUCAACAAAAAUUAGCAGAAGUAAACUUUACUAUUUGAGUGACUAAGUUAAGAGUUAGGGAGUAAGAGAGAGGGCUAUAUUUUAAAAUACAAUAGUUGUUACAUCUUGCAACAGAAUUGGUAAGUUAGCCAUAUUUAAGCAAUAACACAAGAGAGGGAGUGCUAUAACGUGUCAUUUUGGCACUGCUGUGAUGCGGUCGUGAAGAUCAGCACAGCAGUGCCAAUAAGACACGUUAUAGCACAAACAUUGAGUGUAUUAUUGCGAUUAUACCACAGUUCCAUUAUCACUGUUUAUUGAAAGAUUUUGAGUUAAACAGGACAAGAAAAUGCGAUUAGAUUGGUAAUAAACACUCCGCCAGUUAAAAUAAUUCCAUUACUGCUGUGCUUUAGCUGCACUGUAAGCUCUUUAUCGGCCAUUUCAGUUAAUAUUGUGGAAAUCUAAGUGUACUGUAAAUAAACAUAAGCGCUUUACUCACCAAAAUACACUGUUUUUUAGGAGAGAAAUCUGUGUAGAAUAAAGUCCAGCGCUCGUUUGACUAAAAUAUUUAUUUUUAUGAAUUCAAAGUUUUGUUUACUUCGGCGCCCCCAGCGGUGAGAUCUGCAGAAUUACAAGAGUCCACCUUACAUUCAGCCUAAAAUACCCCAUAUUAACUGUAAAAUAUAUACACUUAAGCAUUUAUUUAAAAAAUAACAACUCUUAACCUGAUAUUGGAUGCUAAUAAUGUGUGUGAUAAUAAGUAUUUUCGAAUCGCUUAUUUAUUUGUGGGACCGCGUCUUUGUCUGCGCCGCCUAUUGAAGACAUGGCGUGUCUGCACUGUGCCUAUAGGAUCCAGCGCCUCCCAGUGGUGUUUAAUGAUAUCGCAUUUGGUAAGUGUGACUUAGACGUUGUGUUGCUUGACAUUGUCUUUAAUGUGCUUUAAUGGUUUAUAAUGUAAAAUAGGUUGUUUUUUGUAAUUUACUUUUCUGUUCUAUUGUGCAAAUAGAGAAUGAGUUGGGAAAUUCCUGUGACACAUUUAGAUCCGUAACUUCUGAACCAUAAGGCCUUUUCUCAAGAUUUUUUUAGACUUGCUAAACCAUGUGGCCGUGCUUGGACCGCCAAUUGAUGAAAGAGUAUCUUGGAGUACUGGCCAGUAUGGAGAAGAGCCAGUUCUCCUUUCACUCUGAAGUCUUUCUGCUAAACAGACUUGUGAAAAUCAGCCAUAAGGAGUGCACAAAGGAUUAAUAUUUCACUGCAACGGCCCAGCAGUUAGGAGAUCAAAUGCAGCAACAGUCAGUCUUAUGAACCUGGUUGUUCUGCAUUCGAAGACUUCAGAACAAACCUCAUCCCAGAGGCCGUGUGCAGUGAGUACAGACCAUGGUGAGGGUGGGAGCGGGUCUGUAAUCAUGUUUUGAGCUUUGUUCAGGCAGCGGUUUGUGGCAGUGUCCUGCACGGAAGUCCCAAUGAUCCUUUCAGCUGUCCUGCCCGCCCUCUGCAGAGACUUGCAGUCAGCGAGCGGCCCUGCAGGCUCCUGCACAGAGAUGCAAUUUGACAUGGAAGAGAGGACGAACAGUUUCCUCGGAAGUGCGACACCCAGCUGCUGAGGACAACACAGAACUCCAUGAUCCACUGUUCUGGCUGUUGUUUUAGCUCAGUUCUGUCCAUUUAUCGCCGCCCUACCUGCUGCUGCCUACAUCACAAUAGUGUGGAAAAAUAGCGUAGUUCUCUGUGAAUAUUUACAUUUCCAAGCCCAAAGUAAUUUCUAGAAUCCGGGUCGACCAGAGGAGGACUGGUUCCCCUAUUGAGCCUGGUUCCUGGUUUCUUCCUCAUUGUCAGGGAGUUUUUCCUUGCCACUGUCGCCUUUGAGCUUACUCUUUAGGGGUCUAGACCCAGAUUACUAAUAUUCUUUAGCAAAACCAAAAGUUAACAACUUAAAAAAAUAUAUUAUUUAGCCAUCAUUAACUUACAGUUUUAUUCAAGAAGACCAUCAAACCGAUUUCCAAAUCAGUCAGAGCCCUAUCAUCAAACACAGCUUGUGUGGAUAUUGACUGAUAAAACCUAGAUAUUGAAUGAGGCCUUAAUGUAGUGACUUUUUUUGUUAACUUUAGUUUUAAAAGGCUUGUCUACCGUAUUUUUUGCACUAUAAGGUGCACUCGAAAUCUUUAGUUUUCCCAAAAAUUGUCAGUGCGCCUUUUAAUCCAGUGCCCCUUAGGUAUUAAUUUUACCAAUCAGGUUGUAAGGAGCAGUAAAGACACUACACUGAUGUGCAGCAUUAUACAGGCGUAUAGUUUUCAACAACUAGAGAAACAAUACUCCUUUUCAUGGCAGCAUCAUGUGAUUUAAUAAUAAACGUUUACCCUUUACUCUGAAA